AUUCACAUCUAGCAUCCAAAGCCUGCCUUUGCCUGCUCUCAGGGGUGCCCCAAAUUCCCUGCACCUGGACAGGCCCUUGCUGCUCCAGAUACAAAUCAGCUGCAGGCAGUUUGUUGCCCAGUGGUGCAGCUGGGUUGCUUGCCAGCAACUGCCUUUCUUACAAGAACAGGGAGGGGAAGGGGAAGAGUUUACCAAGCUGGUUGCUUCUCUUGCAUUAGAAUUAAUCUGGUGAGGCCAAAUGAAGCUGUUUUGUCAGACAGGCUAAGCUCCCCUGCAAAGACAGGAGGAGCAGGGUAGCUUUUCCCACUGUGAUCAUGCUGAACCUUCAAGGAAGCAGGUGAGCCAGCCCUGAAAAAUGACUUCAACCUGUGACCAACAAGCAGCUUCUUUAUCCCAUAGUCCCAAGUGGGAUGAGUGUGUUUUAAUCCUCGUCUCAGUCAUUUGAAGAGCUCUGCUAUAUCACCUCCAGAAUAUAGACAGCUCUAAGUAAUAGCUGCAGUGCUGCCGGCCUUCAGGGUGCCCUGCCUUCCUGCUGAGCCUGCCCUGAGAAAACCAGAAGAGACUCCAACAGGAGAGUAAACCCCUCUCCUCUUGUGAAAAGUGGCAUGGCAUCUUAACGAAGCAAGGCCUGACAGCUUGUGGUCUAUGUUAGCUGAAAGGCUUUUAGCACAGAAGAGGAGAAUAAAAUUCAUCAAAGCUGAUGGCUAAAAGCUGAAAUACCCAAAGCAUCCGGGGUGAGAAGAAAAUAGCUCUGAUUCUGAAAUGCAUCAUAGUAAAGAAACAACAAAAAUGACAUUUCCAAGGGGAUUUAGACGUACACCAAUCCUAUGGAUUUCAACAAGAGUUGAGUGCCUAAGUCUACUAGGGGGCUUUGGAAAUCUCAGUGCAAAUCCUGAAAUCAUUGUAGAACCUGACCUGCCGGGAUACAGGUUUUUCUGUCUUCGUGAAGUGUGUAGCCAGCGGCACAGGAGCAAACCACUUUGUGUUGCAGGUCAUUCCUGCAGAAUUGCUUGCAUCCUCCGUUCUUGGUCGCGCAGGUUGAAUCUGAAUGGGAAGCAAAGAGGAAAAGUGGUGUGGUGCUUUGCAAGCAUAAUGAGACAGUGAAAAAUUAACGGGGGGCUGGAUGUAUCCCCGAGGAGCUUGUUUACUUGGGACUUAACCUGCUCCUGGCUCUGCAGGUAACCCAGUCCAAGUGCUAUAAGGGCCAGGAAAGGGUUAGGGUAAUAGGUUAGGGCAAUAUUUGUGGGGGGUUUUAAGAGCCACAGCAAACUUGCAUGCCUUUGCUCUUGUGAGCUGUAGAGCUUAGGCUGGUUUAGGAUACCUCGUUCCUGAUCCACCAGCCACUUACUGGGACUGUUGUGGAAGGAUAAGUGUCUACCAGCCCAGCCUCCUUUUGCUACAGAGCUGUACCUGUCCUGAUGCCAGUGACUUUAGGGAGAUCAAGGCUGCUCCGCGUUGCAGAGCCCUCUGGAACUUGGCAAUUCCGCUUGGAAAGGUUUAUACAAAUAUUUGGCUACAAAGUCACAUGUUUUCCCCGUUGUGCUGCUCUUCUCCACCCAACUUUCCUGAAUUUCCAUGCAGGGGACUAGAUGCUGUGGGGGAGAGCUGCAGCAUAAAUCUGGACAUCAAACCCCAAUUGCCAGAUGGAAGUGAGCCCAGAAGGCCUAUGCCCAAAUCGGUGUCAGCUGCUGAGUGCCACCAGGUUUUGCAUUUCAAAAAAGGUCAUGCAAAGCCAUGCGUUUUCCAUGACGUGAACCACCCCAAAGUGAUGUGAAAAGUUUUGGGAGCUGCAGCAUUUGAUUAAACCAAGGUUGGAGUUUGCCAUGAAACCUGGAGUUGGGGGGAAAGGUAAAAUUUGGGUUUCACUAAGGACAUUUUGGAUGCGUUCUCUCCUCUGGAUCUCCAUUUCCUUGGUGUCAAAAGCAGCUCAUCAAUGGAUUUGCUUGUAAUUCUCAAAUAACUUCAUGGUAGACGAUCUUCCCUUUCACUUUCUCAAGGACACAUCUCUUCCUGUAGCCAUUUUAACGUGAUCAUUUACUAUUUUUACAGACACUUCUUACGCUUCAUUUCUAUUGCUAUUUUUGUUCCUUCUGCCCUUCCUUGAGAACACUGUAAUGAGCCCAUUUAAUUUUUGAUGCAGCUUUGAAAUACGCUUCCUAACCUGCACUUCUCUCUUGCCGGAGCCAAAAGAAAGAGAAUUUCUUAUUAGCACAGUGAGUCUUGUACAUUCAUUAUGCUAGCUACUCGACAUCAGAGCCCAGUCAGGAAUAACUCAGUAGAAAGAGAUCCUGUUUCUUUAUGCCAUCAGCAGUUCCAUAUUCAUAAACUCCUGAGCCUUUCAGGAAAAUAUUUACAUUUUGUUUGGAUCAUAAUGUGUACAUAGUAAUCAUCAUCAUUACUCGCUUAAUUUUGGAAGGUCAAAGGCACUGUUCAGCAAUACUCGGGCACGCCUGGCAAUAUAAGCCCGAUCCUUUUGAAGUCAGGGGCAAAUUCCAGUUUGGCUGGCAUGGAUCUCCCUAGAAGGGAGCAUGGGGUGAAAUUGGGGCUCUAUUGAAGUCACUGAAAAAAUCUUUUCUUGAUUUCAAAAGGCACAGAAUCUCAUCUGUGGAGGUAAGUAUUUCUAACCAGCAUAAUCCACACUGGGAGCGGAAAAAAAAAGCCUGCUGGGCAGAGAUAAAGGAGGCUCUCUGUGUAAAUAUUUGCAUUGGCAGGCCUGACUGCCAAAAAGACCUCAGCUCUAAUUCUGUGUUAGCCCAUGUGCCAUCUUAGCGUAAGAGUCCUGUUUCUGGGGUGAGCCAUUGCAGCUCCUGUUCUUGAGCCUGUGUAGAUCAAGACUGAGACCCGCAAUGCGCUUGCCCCUUGGUGGCGUCUGCAUGUUGUGAUCUGCAUUGGGCAAAGUGGGUGCACAAACCCUAUCGGAGCAGGAUGGAAGCCAUUUAGACUGCCUUUGAUUUGAGGCAAGGGAAGGGAAGUGAUGCGACAGACCUCUCGGUACAUACCUAGCUCACAGUUCCUCCCUUCGAACCCCAGCGGGCACCAGCACACGUAAGAAUUCAGUUCGUCCUGGCAGGAGCCUCCAUUCUUGCAUGGGUUUGGGUUGCACUGAUCUCCAUCUUGGAAACAGAAGUAGGAUAAUUAAUGAGCGGACAGAAAUGUUUGUCAUUUGGUGUGUCACAGCAAGCACUUACCUCCCUACCCACCUCCCAGGGUCAGCUUAAAGAAGAUUGGCACUUGAUGGCUAUUAUUAUUAUUAUUAUUAUUAUUAAUGGAAAGCCCUCCUGGAGUUUUUCUUAAAUUAUUCUGACAUCAUAACCAUUAUGUGGCACCUUGUUCAACUAUGUUAUACACAAGGGACCAAUUUUGGGCCUCGUUUUCUCUCUUCUCCUGGAUGAGAGGUCGGGACUAGGUCUUAGGUCUCAGUUAUGGAAGCUGGAGUGAGGAGGUAGCCUAAUAGGUCCUCUUCCCCU